rnacentral:rRNA from 1 species
ACACUCCUGCGGGAGGCAGCAGUGGGGAAUAUUGCACAAUGGGCGCAAGCCUGAUGCAGCCAUGCCGCGUGUAUGAAGAAGGCCUUCGGGUUGUAAAGUACUUUCAGCGGGGAGGAAGGCAAUACGGUUAAUAACCGUGUUGAUUGACGUUACCCGCAGAAGAAGCACCGGCUAACUCCGUGCCAGCAGCCGCGGUAAUACGGAGGGUGCAAGCGUUAAUCGGAAUUACUGGGCGUAAAGCGCACGCAGGCGGUCUGUCAAGUCGGAUGUGAAAUCCCCGGGCUCAACCUGGGAACUGCAUUCGAAACUGGCAGGCUUGAGUCUUGUAGAGGGGGGUAGAAUUCCAGGUGUAGCGGUGAAAUGCGUAGAGAUCUGGAGGAAUACCGGUGGCGAAGGCGGCCCCCUGGACAAAGACUGACGCUCAGGUGCGAAAGCGUGGGGAGCAAACAGGAUUAGAUACACCGGUAGUCCCAUGA